ACUGAAUAGAUACCCAGGUAGUCCACGCCGUAAACGAUGGAUACUAGCUGUUCGGAGCAAAUCUGAGUGGCUAAAGCGAAAGUGAUAAGUAUCCCACCUGGGGAGUACGCACGCAAGUGUGAAACUCAAAGGAAUUGACGGGGGCCCGGCACAAGCGGUGGAGCAUGUGGUUUAAUUCGAUGGUACGCGAGGAACCUUACCAGGGCGUUAAAUAGUAGAUUGACAGGACUGGAAACAGUUUUUCUUCGGACAAUUUACUAAGGUAGCUGCAUGGUUGUUCGUCAGCUCGUGCCGUCGAGGUGUCAGGUUAAGUACCUACUAACG
rnacentral:rRNA from 1 species